GAUGAACGCUGGCGGCGUGCCUAAUACAUGCAAGUCGAGCGAACGGACGAGAAGCUUGCUUCUCUGAUGUUAGCGGCGGACGGGUGAGUAACACGUGGAUAACCUACCUAUAAGACUGGGAUAACUUCGGGAAACCGGAGCUAAUACCGGAUGAUAUUUUGAACCGCAUGGUUCAAAAGUGAAAGACGGUCUUGCUGUCACUUAUAGAUGGAUCCGCGCUGCAUUAGCUAGUUGGUAAGGUAACGGCUUACCAAGGCAACGAUGCAUAGCCGACCUGAGAGGGUGAUCGGCCACACUGGAACUGAGACACGGUCCAGACUCCUACGGGAGGCAGCAGUAGGGAAUCUUCCGCAAUGGGCGAAAGCCUGACGGAGCAACGCCGCGUGAGUGAUGAAGGUCUUCGGAUCGUAAAACUCUGUUAUUAGGGAAGAACAUAUGUGUAAGUAACUGUGCACAUCUUGACGGUACCAAAUCAGAAAGCCACGGCUAACUACGUG
rnacentral:rRNA from 1 species